rnacentral:rRNA from 1 species
UACGUAGGGGGCAAGCGUUGUUCGGAAUCACUGGGCGUAAAGGGCGCGUAGGCGGCGCGGGUAGUCGUCGGUGAAAGCUCAGGGCUCAACCCUGAGUCGGCCGGUGAUACUCCCGUGCUCGAGCACUGUAGGAGGCAGGUGGAAUUCCGGGUGUAGCGGUGGAAUGCGUAGAGAUCCGGAAGAACACCGGUGGCGAAGGCGGCC